rnacentral:sRNA from 1 species
UGUAUUCUCAGCUUUUUAUUGAAGUGAUAGAAAUGAAAAUAUACGAAGUUCCUAUUUGUCACGAUUUUUUACUUCUCCAUUGUAGGCUGCAACCCCACCCUAUGGAUGAACAGGUAACAGAGCCUCCUGUUUCAAAACAUCUUGUAUAAAUUAUGAAGUUGGUUGUACCAUGCCUAGCCAACAAAUAGGUAGCAUGGGCGGAAGAUGAGUGAAUACAGUGUGCCAUCCUUCUAACAAUACCCUGAAUAAAUAUGUGUUGCCUGAAGCUCACACAGGAAGUAGCACAGCUUUGAGCAGUUUACUAAGAUCAGCUGCUGCUCUCUGAAAAGCCACAGGUGUGUCAGCUAUGCCAGGAAGAUGGCAGCCUAACAAAGAAUGUGUGUAAGAACUGCAGAGGAACCUUCUGUGAUGCCUGUUCAACAAAUGAACUGCCUCUUCCUUCAAGUAUCAAGCUU